UUGCUUCCCUUGAGAGCGGCGGACGGGUGAGUAACACCUGGGAAUCUGCCUGGUAGUGGGGGAUAACGUUCCGAAAGGAACGCUAAUACCGCAUACGUCCUACGGGAGAAAGCAGGGGAUCUUCGGACCUUGCGCUAUCAGAUGAGCCCAGGUCGGAUUAGCUAGUAGGUGAGGUAAUGGCUCACCUAGGCGACGAUCCGUAACUGGUCUGAGAGGAUGAUCAGUCACACUGGAACUGAGACACGGUCCAGACUCCUACGGGAGGCAGCAGUGGGGAAUAUUGGACAAUGGGCGCAAGCCUGAUCCAGCCAUGCCGCGUGUGUGAAGAAGGUCUUCGGAUUGUAAAGCACUUUAAGUUGGGAGGAAGGGAAGUAAGUUAAUACCUUGCUUUCUUGACGUUACCGACAGAAUAAGCACCGGCUAACUCUGUGCCAGCAGCCGCGGUAAUACAGAGGGUGCAAGCGUUAAUCGGAAUUACUGGGCGUAAAGCGCGCGUAGGUGGCUAAGUAAGAUGGGUGUGAAAUCCCCGGGCUCAACCUGGGAACUGCAUCCAUAACUGCUUGGCUAGAGUACGGUAGAGGGUAGUGGAAUUUCCUGUGUAGCGGUGAAAUGCGUAGAUAUAGGAAGGAACACCAGUGGCGAAGGCGACUACCUGGACUGAUACUGACACUGAGGUGCGAAAGCGUGGGGAGCAAACAGGAUUAGAUA
rnacentral:rRNA from 2 species